AUUUGAUAAGAAAGACUGAAAACCAUAAGCAGACUGAAAAGUGCCAAGGCUUUAUCUAGAUCUUGGACAAGAACUUUAACCUCAUGUUUCUUGUUUGCAAUAUUGGGACAAUACUUGUUACAGAUUGAAUUGCAUCCCCCAAUAAUUCAUUUAUUGACUUAACCUGCAGUGUGACUGUAUUUGGAAACAGGGCCUCUAAGAAGGUAACGGUUAAAUGAGCUCAUAGAAGGUGGGGCCCUAAUCUGGUGUCCUUGUAAGAAGAGGAAGAGAUACCAGAGAUCUUUUCCUCUGUGCACACACAGAGGAAAGGCCAUGCAAAGACACAGUGAGAAGGUGGACGUCUGCAAGCUAGGAAGGGAGGUUUUACCAGAAAUAGAAUUUUCUGGCAUCUUGACCUUAGACUUCUUGCCUCCAGAACUGUGAGAAAAUAAAAAUGUCUGUGGUUUAAGCCCUCCAGUCUGUGGUACUUUGUGAUGGCAGCCUGAGCACACUAGUAUAAUACCUAUUCUGUGGGUUUACGGUGAGAAUGAAACAUAAGAAAAUCUUUGCACACUCUGAGAUCAUGCACAAGUUAAUGACUUUGAGGGACGAAGAAGUAAAAUGUUUUUGUUGGAUUUGAGAUUGUGACGCAGUGAGGCUGAGCCAGAUACGAAGACAGAAAGCAGAUAGACUUGUAGGGCUGGCCUUGAGAUGGGGCACUGCCACAAGAGCUAGGGAAGAAGCACAGCUAAACCAGAACCACAGCUGGAACCCAGGUCUCCUGGAUUGAACUGUCCCCGCCCCUGCCCCUGCCCCUGACACCAGUCCAGCAAAGAAAGACCUGAGGGGUGCUGGUGAUGAGUGAUGGCUGCUCUGCCUCAGGCUGAAGAUAGAAGCAGCCUAUCUCAGGUGGGUGGAAAUUUUCCUUUCUUCCUUUGGCCAUGGGCAAAGUGAUAUGCCCUGGUCUGCAGCAGCAGAGACUUCAGGAAGCCCACACACAUCAAGCGGCCAAAGCGGACCAGUGUCAGCAGGGGGAAAUCAGAGGGACUUCCCCCAAGUCCUUCCUGUCAAAGAAAGAAGCAUGAGAGGCCUUCAUGAAGGUGAAAACCACACAUUAAGGACUAGUCCAGACUGGGUACAUGUCUCCCCAGUGCAGCUGCUACCCCUUGGGUUUUACCCCAGGACACUGGGUUCCGUCCUGUCAUGGUGGUCAGUGCUGGAAAGCUGGGGUUUAAAGCUGUACACACAGCUUCAGGCAAGUCCUAGGCCAAAGUUGAGUCCAAGGAGCACCAAGGUCUUCUCACUAGCAGCAGGUAGGAAAUGAUGGACAUUGGGUGAUAACCUGGAGGCCAGUGACAUGGUGAGACCACUUCUGACUCCCUCAUUUCCCAUCUCUUACAUCACAUCUCCACCACGUGGGCUCACUUAGACAUGCUCACAACUAUUAAGGUACCACUGGGGGCUUCCUAUGACCAAGUCCCUUUAAAUAUCUUUUGAAUGUUCCCUCCCAUUGUGAGAGGAAGGUAGUAAUAAGGUGGUAGCAAAAUAGAAUGUUGACACCCAUUUACGACUUUUAUGUGAGAAGAAGAAAUGGGGAGUUGAUGAGUGAGUGUAUGGAGAACCAGGGAGUGAGUGAAUGUGUAUAUAUAUAUAUAUUUACUUUUCUGGGCCCCAGUAACCUUCUCCCUUGAAUUCCUGUUGAACCGCAAAUUUAGAGCUUCUUUGUAGGUUAGUCUGGUGAUUCACUGUUGGUUUGUGGGUGUCAGACAUGCAACUGUGACAGCUGUCAUCAUCUUCUGUUUAUGCUGGAUUGUGGACUUCUUAAGAUCAAGGCCUGUGUCUUUUUUUAUUUUUUAUUUUUAAAUUGAGGCAGUGUCACACUCUGUCACCCAGGCUGGAGUGCAGUGGUGCAAUCACGGCUUACUGUAGCUUCAACCUCCAAGGCUCAGGUGAUCCU